GAUGAACGCUAGCGGCAGGCUUAAUACAUGCAAGUCGAGGGGCAGCAUGAUUGUAGCAAUACAAUUGAUGGCGACCGGCAAACGGGUGCGGAACACGUACACAGCCUUCCAAUAAGUGGGGGAUAGCCCAGAGAAAUUUGGAUUAAUACCCCGUAACAUAACGAUGUGGCAUCACAUUGUUAUUAUAGAUUUUUCGCUUAUUGAUGGGUGUGCGGCUGAAUAGAUAGUUGGCGGGGUAACGGCCCACCAAGUCUACGAUCAGUAGCUGAUGUGAGAGCAUGAUCAGCCACACGGGCACUGAGACACGGGCCCGACUCCUACGGGAGGCAGCAGUAAGGAAUAUUGGACAAUGGACGCAAGUCUGAUCCAGCCAUGCCGCGUGAAGGAUUAAGGUCCUCUGGAUUGUAAACUUCUUUUAUAAGGGACGAAAAAAGGCUUUUCUAAGUCGUCUGACGGUACCUUAUGAAUAAGCACCGGCUAACUCCGUGCCAGCCGCCGCAGUAAAAC
rnacentral:rRNA from 1 species